UACGAAGGGGGCUAGCGUUGUUCGGAAUUACUGGACGUAAAGCGCGCGCAGGCGGCCAUUCAAGUCAGGGGUGAAAGCCCAGAGCUCAACUCUGGAACUGCCCUUGAAACUGUAUGGCUUGAGUAUGAGAGAGGUGAGUGGAAUUCCCAGUGUAGAGGUGAAAUUCGUAGAUAUUGGGAAGAACACCGGUGGCGAAGGCGGCUCACUGGCUCAUUACUGACGCUCAGGCGCGACAGCGUGGGGAUCAAACAGG
rnacentral:rRNA from 1 species